rnacentral:lncRNA from 1 species
UACAAUGACUCAUCAUGAGAAAAAUAAAGUCUUGAGUGGGGGCUGCCCGAGUGCGGCAGCUGGACACUCUGACAAUGGCGGAAUGUCCCCUGAGCUUUCGCAGGGCGUUGCUACUCACUGCUAUAAGACAAAGACGCAGCCACAGCAGGGUGGGGACGGCUGGAAGGCAACUACAGUGGAGACAGAGCACUUUCCAAGGGCCCUCAGCCUGCAGUGCACCAAGAAACCUCAAAGGUGUGUUCCACUUCUUUUCUCAGCACGAAAUGCUUUGUGGAGACACAUCGCUGCUCCAUGAGGUUGUGGGGUGGAAUGGCCCUUGAAAUCCCUAUCUUCUGUUUGGACCCCUGACACAAAUAAGAAUGAAGCUUGCCUGCAUGCUACAACAUUUCUAAGCUCCAGUGCCCACAAAAUUUCUCAGCACUGAGAAUACAAAACUGUCAUUAUGGCAUCUGUAGAGCCAAAGACUGUAUUUAAGGCUUCAAAAUGAUGCUUAUUAUAAUCCUGUCCUGGACUCUAAUGCCAAAAACUGUACAUGAAGAGUCUCUUGUGAGGAAAUUUGCCAGAGAAGACAGAAUGUAUCUGAUCACACAGGCAGCGUUUUGGAUGGGUUUCAAGCUGUAGAUUUGGGGGAGAAGCGAGUUUCCCCAGGGAGAAUCCAUGCACGGCUGCACCCCGUGCGGUGCAGGAGCUGCCAGCAUCAGAGACUGUGAUGGGAGUGGUACCUCGGGGCUGAGUGCUGUGGCAGCCCUGAUGUCACCCAUGGGAUGUGGGCAAUUGUGGAGGAUGCGAAACCAUGAAUUGAAGAUUGAUGGCUAUGAAACUCAUGCUUUGGUGAGUGCGUGAAGAUUUUAAGGUCUUCUGGGGGAGAACAAGGAGGGGAAUAGGUAGGAAGGCAAGCCCAGCAUGCAGAACUCCAAAAGCAGUCACGCUCGGGUGCGGGGACAGAGGCAUUUACCCUCUGGGAAGUUUUUAUUUUCUAAAAACACUUUCAAAUUCAUCUUUACUACUCAAUGGUCCAAAAAGUCUUGUUUUUAAUAUCUGCUUUUAAAAAAACUGAAUUCAAAGUGAGAAAAAAAGGGAAAAAUGGAAACAACUUUUGUAAAUGGGGUGGGGAGGAGAAGUUAUAGGAAGGGAGGCAAAGAGGAUAAAAAAGAAUCAAGUUAUAUCAAGUACAGGUACAAAUUCUCUAUGAUGAAUGUGAUCAUUAUGCAUAUCUAAAUUAUACCAAUAAAAUCUGAUUUUACAAAAC